CUCAUCCGAACUCAACGUGAGAUGAACAGGUUCUUGGCACAACCAUGUUCACACGAUGAAUCUCCCAGGUCCAAAUGUUCAGCACAUGAAACUUCAUCGGGACCACGUACGAAAGACUCGCACAUAGACACCAGAAAAAGGUUCAAGAACUCAAUUCCUCAUAUCCAAAAUCCCAAGUCAAACGCGUUGAAUCUAGGUCGAAACAAACAGGGCAUUCCUUCAUGACACAAGAACUCUGCUUCACCAGGAUUCGAGCUUCACCCUCAAAUGAAGAAUCAAGGAUAAAUCAUCGAAUUGCAAUCAAAACCAAAAUCGAAAUCGCUUAAAGGCUUAUUCUUACGCACAGAAUCAGGGACGAAGUUGAUGAUUGAAAGCAAAGCACUUAUGGAGACGAAGUUCUCGACACGAUGAUUACAGGAUAAACCGAAAAAUGCAGAGUUGAUGUUUUACGGUUAAACCCAAAUCAAAGAGUGAUUCCCAGGUUCUGUGAUGGAAGCAGGUUGUGAUGGAAGGUGGUUAGAAGAGGGGUUGUCGUUGUUGAGAUGUGCGGGGAAGGUUUUUGGAUUAUGAUGAAGGGUGAGGUUGAAUAAGAGGAUUGGUUGGUGGUUGUGGAAGUUAUGGUUCUGAAGAGAGUUGAUGAGGGAUUGGAGGAUGAUGAAGGGUUGUGAAUUGAAGAUGGAGUGAAGUUAGAAGUGGAGGUUGGAGGAAGUGAAUUUGGUUCCCUGUUGUAAUUUAUUUUUCUGUUUUCUUCUAUUCUUCCUUCGUUUUUGUUCUUCUUUUCCCUUCUGUUAUGUGGAUUUGUGGCGGUGAUGGAGUAGUUCAAAGUUUAGGUGAUGUUGGUUCUUGAAGGGGGUGAUGCAGAGUGAAGAAGAUUGUUAUUGAAGAUGGUUAUUGGAGAAAGUUGAAGGUGUUAGCAGGUUGUGAGAUGAUGGAGGAUUGAAGGGUUCGAAUGGACGGUUAUGGAGGGUGGAAGGUUGAGGUUAAGAUGAUGCAUGGUUGGUUAGUUGUUAUGUGUAAAAAGGUGUGAAGGAUGAAGAAGAUAGAAGAGGGUUCUGAAUUGGAAUUCGGUUAUAUGGUUGAGAGUGAGGUCAGGUUCUGAUCAAUGUUGCAGGUUUUUGUGAAGUUGGAGACUCCCUCAUGACAGUUGGUGGAAAAUUCAGUUAUUAUUUUCGGUUAUAACAGUUGGGGAAAUGAAAGUUAGGAGGUGGUUCGGUUCUAUUUUGGAGGAGGGUUCAAUUCAGUUAUAAGUUUGUUAGUUGGUUAGAGUUGAGAUAAUUCGGUUAGAGUUUCGGUCGAGCUUGCAGGUUCUGUUAUAUGUUUCAUCCUUUUCCUUUUGUUUUAAGGAUUCCAAUAUAGGUUCUGAAAAAAGCUUAAAGAUUGUAUGCCGUUUUUGCGGAAUUUUGGUUAUGAGUUUUUAUUCUUAUGAACCUGUUAGAGGUUGGUUUCAAUCUUAUUAAGUUCAUUCACUCUCAUUUGCAGGUUCUAAAAUAUUUUCAUGAGCCACAAGUGGAGCGCCCCUUCCAGGUUUCCAUUAUACACCUGCACUCUUAUGCCUCUGGUAUGCUGAAGCUGAGCAUUAAAAGGCUCAGUUGUGAAACCUGACUGUCUGAAUAAGCUUGAUAAAUGUCUUACAACUAAGUUCAUAUUUUGUUAUAGUCUGUGGCAGUCAGCGUGAGAUUCUGAUGUGGUUUUUGUGGUGAGGUGAUUUAGGUGUGACUCUGGUGGUGAUGGAUGUGUUUGGUGACUGAUAAUGCGAAAGGAAAUGUAUUGGAUUUAUGGUAAUUUAGUAUGUAAUAUGAAAUUGUAAUGGGAAUGUUUGAAAUUGGACUUGAAAUUGUUCAGGUUUUGGAUAUUGAUUGUGUAAUAGGAUUGUGCAUAGAUGGAAUUGGAAAUGAGUGUAAUUUUGAAUAUAUUUGUUUAUGGAAUUAAUAGAAAGUUUGAAGGUUAUAUGUA